CUUGGCUUCAUGUAAGCAUCAACAUUAUAUAAAAGACAAUAAUACAUGUCAUCAGUUUCAGGAGUAAAAUUAAGAGAGUUUUGAUUGGAUGAGCCCACAGCGAUUGAAAUCAACCGACCCAUAGGCUUUUGAAGGCCAGAAUGAUUUCCUAUCCACAGAGCAUAAGUAAAUCAGAAACUUGCAGUUGUGUGUGUGAGCCAGCAUUUCAAUAUAAAUAACAUUAAAUUAGGCAUGGCUACUCUACUACAUAUUGCCAUAUCUUCGUCUCACCUUCCGUUUUCUAUUUCUUUCUUCCCUCCAGGUAAACAAGAUAGAAUCAUGGAAUCUUAAGACACGUGUGUGUCUGCGUGGAGGUGAGGUCACAGGCAGAGAAGGCAGUGGAGUGUCAGACUGGGUGUAAGAGUCCCGGUGAGAGUCCGAGGAACCCAUAGAGACGAUGGGAAGCUUCUCUUAUUUUUGAAUGAAAUGACUUCUGAAAGAGAACAUCCUCUGAGGACACACUAAUUCUCCCACCUUUAUGGAAAUUCCUUCUCAGAAGGGGCAGAUUUGCUCAGCACUGAAGCCACGUCCUAGAAGCCUGGGGCUCCGUGUGGAGGGUGAAUGCUGACGGGAGCCUGGGGACCUCAGCUUCGAAAGCCUGUUUCUGCCGCUCACCGCGGGGCCUGCAGGGCUGAGCUUCAUCUUUCUGUGCUUCAUUUCACUGUCAGUGGAAAGAGCAUAAUAUUUUUAUCCCCAGUUUCUUCCAUCCAGAGCCACAGGAGAUUGGAAGUAAGUCACUGGCUCCCAGAUGUUCUCACAGCCAUAGUCUUCACUGCCUGCGAACAACUCAAGAAAUGAGUCUUUCUUCUGUUGCUGUUUGUUCAUACAGAACAAGAUGAGACACAAGCCUCCUGCUUAAUUGGAGUAUUGAAUUUUUGAAAAUGUCUGGUCAUUUUGUUCUUUCUCUUGUUUCCAUCUAGUGUUGCCAUUCUAAUUAGGGAAUGGCAGUGCUAAAAAUACAGAUGUUAACACCAAAUCAGUCCAUCCUAAUUAUCACUCAAAAAUCAAACAUUUUUUAGGGAGGCAAAAACUGUCAUGAGAACUAAAAUUUGAUUUGGAGACUAUUUCACUUAUACAGUUUCUUCACAUGAUGACCAGCCUUCUUUCUUUAGUAAUGGUUAUUACUAUGGCCAUUGCUGUUAAUUCUGUGACUUAUCACUUCCCAUAUAGACCCAAGCACUGAGCUAAGUGUUUCACAGGCAUUAUCGCAUGGAGGGCACUCAACAACGCUAUCAGCUGGCCAUUGUUAUCAUCCUCAUUCUAUAGGGAGGGGUUAAAGAACACUUCCAAGAUCUCAUCGCUGGUCAUUGGUAGCAACAGGGUUUAAAACCAGAUUUGUCCAACUUCAGAACUGUGAUCUCUCUCAUUUGCAACCCUGUCUGCUAAGUAACAUGAUACAGAAUUGGUUAAAUACUUUCCAUAUGAAUGUCUGCAGGUUUAGGAUUUAAAUCAUUCUCUAAAAUGGAUUUUUGAUAUAAUAAAAAUGACCAAUGUAUUCUGUAAAUUGUAUUGCCUAAGUGUGGGAAGAAGGGCUGGAAGCAACGCAGUCAUUGAUUCUGUGGGAAAGGAUGGACAUGAGAGAUGCAGCCGGUCAAUAUAGUCUGUUAUUAAUUUGAAUACCCAAAUAUUAGUCAGAUAUUGUUUGUGUUUCUCAAAAGUGUCAUCUAAUUUUUAUUAUUUUUAAAAUAAUUUUUUAUUUUCACUUAAGUAAUGCGUAC
ensembl:lincRNA